GGGCAUAGCUCAGUGGCAGGGUGCUUGCCUAGCAUGCACGAGGCACUGGGUUUGAUCCUCAGCACCACA
rnacentral:tRNA from 1 species